rnacentral:lncRNA from 1 species
UCCCUGCCCAAGACUCGGGCUCUCCUACUUCUAGUCUUCGCCCGCCACGCCCUGGAACUGGGAAGUGCGGACCCUCCGCCUUGCAGAGCGAGAGUCCGGUGCGCUGCGACCUCGAGAGAUCUUCGGGUGGUGGAGGCCGCUCCGCCCCAGCAUAGGCCCUCUUUCCCUGCCGGAAAGAAACGCAAAAAGCUUUAGCCUCCCGCGCUUCCGGCCCCUGGCCUCUAGGGACUAUGGCCUGUGUGGGUGCCUGUUCCCCAGCUGCCCUGGAGUAGGAGGAGACCUGGCUAAGCAGUCCGGGCGCUAAAUUGUCUGCAGUAGUGCAAAUACCUAGAGUGUAUGUGCGAAUCCGAGUUCCACUAAAGGUAAUUGACCCGGGGACAUAGAGGAGGAGAACAUAGAGAAACAAGGUAAAUUUACGCUCAAUGAUUUGAAACCAGGAUAUUCAAUGGAAAGAAAGGAAAAGGAAACACAUGAUAAUUGCAUCAGCCUGGUUUUUGGUGCUUGUGACUUCCAUAGAAAUCUUUCACGUUUUCCGGAAAAAUCAUCUGGUGAUAGUGAUCUAAAAGCGCACCCCCAAAUUUUAUCACAAUUCUAGUAGAGCAGAUCCUAGGGUCACCCAGUGUCUCCCUUUCCUCUUCUCAGUCAGUGCACUCGUUGGAAUGUGGGUGAACAGUUGGGGGAAGGUAGGUGAGAUCUGAAACAAGACAGUGAUGUCAGAAGAGAUCGGGAAAAGGGCGUCCCAAUGAACUGUGUUUAUUUGAAAAGUCUCCUGUAGCAAUCUUGUAUUUUUUCUUAUGUUAUGCCUGAGUUAAUUUGUACAUAACUUAGUGUACAAAGUCAUAAGACUUAUUAUGAAAACAGCAGGACCCCUUCCUCCUCUUCUCACUUCCUGCCUCCUCCUGCUUUUCAGAGGCAACCUUUGAACUCCUUUUAGCUCACUCUUUGGCAAUCCCCUCUGUAUCUCUACGUGACUUGUUAAUGUGGCCACUUAGUGAUUUAAAGCCUUUAUACAUUACUUAUUGACUUCUCACUAGUCUUUUUCCCCAUCAUCACUUUCACAGCCAGGGCUUACUCAUUCACUUGGGCACCUGUAUGGUUAACUAUUUCAGUCCUCUUUAAGUACAGUUGUGUUGUAAUUUGGGUUGUAUCAGCAGUUCAUGUUUAUAUUAGUAUGACUAUGUAAAUAUCAUUCACACAGAAGCUGUGUAAUACACACAUGAUUUCUCUCUUGCGCAACUAUUUGUUUUCUCUAGACCUAAUAACUUUUUUUUCCCCUUUUAGAUUUCUGUGCACUUAUUAGUUCCACCCAGUCUCCCACCAGUUGUCUGCAUCUUGUGUCAAAACAUUUAUUCACAUCAGAUAUUCCCUCAGUCUCCCCUGUCCUGAAACCAUCUCUCCUGGUAUGCUGUCACCUGCUCCACAUUGGACUGGGUGCUCUCUGAGCCUCUUGCCUGGUUCUUCUCAGAAGCAUGAGUCUAGUAAUCCCUUUUGCUUCUCAUUCGUAUUGUUUCUUUUGCUUAUGAAUUCUUUCUGUUCUUCUUUCUUGGUUUACUGUCUUUGGGGGAGAUGUCCAUUCUCUUAGUCUCAUAAAAAGCAGAAUGUUUUCAAGAUUGUGUGUUUCCAGUUUUCCUAAAUUUCAUGAUGACAUGCCUUGGUAUGGAUCCAUUUCCAUGCAUUGUCAAGGUUAUUCUGGGAACCAUCAGUAUUUAGAAGUGCUUGUACUUCAGGUCUGAGAAUGUGUUUUGGUGAUUUCUUCAUUGAUGAUUUCCUCCUCCUUUUUUUUUUGUUUGUUUUUGUUCUCUCAGAUCUUCAGAAUUGAUUCUUAAUUUUUUAAAAAUGAUCUUCUCAUUUUCAAUUUCUUUUUCUUUUCUCGAUUUCAAGAUUUUUUUCCUUUCAUCUUCUAAACAUUCUUG